rnacentral:hammerhead_ribozyme from 1 species
GUACUGUUGAGGAGUUCCAUAAUAGGACGAAACGGCCUUCCAGUAC